GACGAACGCUGGCGGCGUGCUUAACACAUGCAAGUCGAACGGGUCUGCCCUGUUUUUUGCGGGGUGGGUCAGUGGCGAACGGGUGAGUAACACGUGAGUAACCUGCCCCUCACUUCUGGAUAACCGCUUGAAAGGGUGGCUAAUACGGGGUGUUCUGGCUGUGCCGCAUGGUGUGGCUGGGAAAGAUUCACUUUUGUGGUGUUUUGGUGGGGGAUGGGCUCGCGGCCUAUCAGCUUGUUGGUGGGGUGAUGGCCUGCCAAGGCUUUGACGGGUAGCCGGCCUGGGAGGGUGGGCGGUCACACUGGGACUGAGAUACGGCCCAGACUCCUGCGGGAGGCAGCAGUGGGGGGUAUUGCACAAUGGGCGGAAGCCUGAUGCAGCGACGUCGCGUGAGGGAUGGAGGCCUGCGGGUUGUGAACCUCUUUCGCCGGUGAAGAAGGUCCUGCUCUUUGUGGUGGGGUUGACGGUAGCCGGGUUAUGAAGCGCCGGCUAACUACGUG
rnacentral:rRNA from 1 species